AUAAGCCAGCUUGACUGCGAGCGUGACGGCGCGAGCAGGUGCGAAAGCAGGUCAUAGUGAUCCGGUGGUUCUGAAUGGAAGGGCCAUCGCUCAACGGAUAAAAGGUACUCCGGGGAUAACAGGCUGAUACCGCCCAAGAGUUCAUAUCGACGGCGGUGUUUGGCACCUCGAUGUCGGCUCAUCACAUCCUGGGGCUGAAGUAGGUCCCAAGGGUAUGGCUGUUCGCCAUUUAAAGUGGUACGCGAGCUGGGUUUAGAACGUCGUGAGACAGUUCGGUCCCUAUCUGCCGUGGGCGCUGGAGAACUGAGGGGGGCUGCUCCUAGUACGAGAGGACCGGAGUGGACGCAUCACUGGUGUUCGGGUUGUCAUGCCAAUGGCACUGCCCGGUAGCUAAAUGCGGAAGAGAUAAGUGCUGAAAGCAUCUAAGCACGAAACUUGCCCCGA
rnacentral:rRNA from 1 species